CAGUUCAGAUUCUGGCUGAUGAUGUCAUCAACACAGAGAAGUAAAUGCCAAACAGGAGGCCUUAAGCUGGCUUGCUGGUGAGCACCACACAUUCAGCUGAGGGCUGAGACCAGUUGUGGUAUGGCUAUGGCUUUGCACAGCACCCUGGAAGUGGUGUGGAUGGGGUUCCUCCUCAGCUCUCUCUGGAAGGUUGCAGAGAGCAAGGACCAAGUAUUUCAGCCUUCCUCCGUGGUAUCUUCUGAGGGAGCUGUGGUGGAAAUCUUCUGCAAUCACUCUAUAUCCAAUGCUUAUGAGUUCUUCUGGUACCUUCACUCCCCAGGAUGUGCGCCAAGACUCCUUGUAAAGGGCUCAAGGCCUUCUCAGCAGGGACGCUAUAACAUGACAUAUGAGCGAUUCUCUUCUUCACUGCUCAUCCUCCAGGUGCAGGUGGCAGAUGCUGCCUUUUACUACUGUGCUCUGAGUGACACAGAGGCAGAGAACCCAUGA